GACGAACGCUGGCGGCGUGCCUAACACAUGCAAGUCGAACGGAACUGUUUUGAAAGAUUUCUUCGGAAUGAAUUUGAUUUAGUUUAGUGGCGGACGGGUGAGUAACGCGUGAGUAACCUGCCUUCAAGAGGGGAAUAACAUUCUGAAAAGAAUGCUAAUACCGCAUGACAUAUCGGAACCACAUGGUUUUGAUAUCAAAGAUUUUAUCGCUUGAAGAUGGACUCGCGUCCGAUUAGUUAGUUGGUGAGGUAACGGCUCACCAAGACCGCGAUCGGUAGCCGGACUGAGAGGUUGAACGGCCACAUUGGGACUGAGACACGGCCCAGACUCCUACGGGAGGCAGCAGUGGGGGAUAUUGCGCAAUGGGGGCAACCCUGACGCAGCAACGCCGCGUGAAGGAUGAAGGUUUUCGGAUUGUAAACUUCUUUUAUUAAGGACGAAAAAUGACGGUACUUAAUGAAUAAGCGCCGGCUAACUACGUG
rnacentral:rRNA from 1 species